CCUACGGGAGGCAGCAGUGGGGAAUAUUGGACAAUGGGGGCAACCCUGAUCCAGCCAUGCCGCGUGUGUGAAGAAGGCCCUCGGGUUGUAAAGCACUUUCAGUGAGGAAGAACGCCUGGUGGUUAAUACCCAUCAGGAAAGACAUCACUCACAGAAGAAGCACCGGCUAACUCCGUGCCAGCAGCCGCGGUAAUACGGAGGGUGCGAGCGUUAAUCGGAAUUACUGGGCGUAAAGCGCGCGUAGGUGGCUUGAUAAGCCGGUUGUGAAAGCCCCGGGCUCAACCUGGGAACGGCAUCCGGAACUGUCAAGCUAGAGUGCAGGAGAGGAAGGUAGUAUUCCCGGUGUAGCGGUGAAAUGCGUAGAGAUCGGGAGGAAUACCAGUGGCGAAGGCGGCCUUCUGGACUGACACUGACACUGAGGUGCGAAAGCGUGGGUAGCAAACAGGAUUAGAUACCCUUGUAGUC
rnacentral:rRNA from 1 species